rnacentral:rRNA from 1 species
AUACGGAGGGUGCGAGCGUUGUUCGGAAUUAUUGGGCGUAAAGAGCAUGUAGGCGGUCUGUUAAGUCUGGUGUGAAAGCCCGGGGCUCAACCCCGGAAGUGCAUUGGAUACUGGCAGACUUGAGUAUGGGAGAGGAAAGCGGAAUUCCGCGUGUAGGAGUGAAAUCCGUAGAUAUUCGGAGGAACACCAGUGGCGAAGGCGGCUUUCUGGACCAAUACUGACGCUGAGAUGCGAAAGCGUGGGGAGCGAACAGGAUUAGAAACCCCAGUAGUCC